UAAAUAGAUCAUUUGUUUUAUUCUGUUUGGGCAUUUCUUGCGUUUCUCCCAACUGCAGCUUAUGGACACAAAGCCAAACUCAGAGACUGGCUGGAGCUGGCAAAACUCCAGGUCACUUUUUAAAAUUUUUUGAAGGAAUAAACAAUUUGAAGCUCUAUCUGACAAUUAAGGCAAGCCACACAAUUGAAGGACAAAAUGACAUUCUGCUGUGAAUGGGAAGAGGCACAGAAAGAGGCAGGUAGGAGCAUUAAACGGUUUGGAUUUCUCAAACAAGACUGAGACAGAGACGAGGGAAACGCUGAUUGAAAGUGCACAUCUACGAGAAAUACAUUUCAAAGUGGGUCAAAUACUGCAAGGACCGCUGCUCAUGGCCACCAACCAACACAGGACACAGCUUCUUUGGGGCAGCCCUCUAAUGAUGGGUGUCGAAGUGCCUGGUCACUUGAACAUCAUGGAAAGCUUGGGAGGUUGCGUCUGUAUCCCCUUGCUGGCAUCAGGAAGGCUGGCCAACACCAGCCAUGCACGUUCUGCAACAAGCACAGUUGGUAUUCCUGGCAUAUCCCACUGGCAGAAUGGGUCUUUGUCUUGAAUCACUUCCCUUUGGGAGACACUCAUUGGCAUACUUACCAAGUCAAUACGACACUUGGCACUAGUUCACCCACCCGUCAACACAUAUUUAUUGAGCAAGAAGUGUGUGUAGUGUCUUGCCUUUGGGGACUAAGGACGGGGUGGAUUGGAAACCACAUUGAACUGGUUUCUCUUCUCUGCUUUCUGGGGACACAACAAAGAAGGGUGAAAGAAAACUAGCUAAGAAACAAGCAAAAAAAAAAAAAUUUCAGAUCAUGUUGAGGCCUAUGAAGAAAGUAAUAGGUUGGAGAAAGGAGAAAGUGACUUUAGCUCAAUUGAUCUGGGAAGGUUUCCUAGAGAAGGUGACAUCUGAAUUGUGACCCAAAGUAUAAGGAGGCAGUCAUGAAAGGGUCCUGGGGGAGAAAGGCAUUUCAGGCAGAGGGAACAACAGGAAAAAGGAUUUACAUCCUGCCCUGUAACUGAAUACGAAUAUUAGGCAUGACUGUAAAAUAAUGAAACAGGUUUUCUUUUUGCAAACUGUGUUUCCUUUUAAUUUUAGAGCCAAACCUCCCAUAGCUUGUUUCCCUAUAAGAGAGGCUGUGAAUACCCUUGGCCUGGCCCAGAUCUUAUACUUUUAAAAGCGGCCUCCUCACCUCAACACACACAGUAUCUAGCAUGGC
rnacentral:lncRNA from 1 species